UACGGAGAAUCCAAGCGUUAUCCGGAUUUAUUGGGUUUAAAGGGUGCGUAGGCGGUUUUAUAAGUUAGAGGUGAAAAUUCGGGGCUCAACUCCGGACGUGCCUCUAAUACUGUAUGACUAGAGAAUAGAUGCGGUAGGCGGAAUGUAUGGUGUAGCGGUGAAAUGCGUAGAGAUCAUACAGAACACCGAUUGCGAAGGCAGCUUACCAAACUAUAUCUGACGUUGAGGCACGAAAGCGUGGGGAGCAAACAGG
rnacentral:rRNA from 1 species